CCUCUUUAUUGUUGGCUUGAUUAACAAGGGCUACCAUUCUAGCUAAUAACAUUAUUGUUGCAGAUUCAGGUGGAUAAUGCAUUUGUUUCCAUGUUUCAUUUAACUGUACAAGUGGAUGAGACUCAUCUUUUUCUUUUGAAUCAUUCAAUAUGGGGUAAAAUAAUUGUUGAAUUCCCAGUCAAUCUGCGUACAUUUUCUUCAGCAGUUUCUAAUGGUUUCAAACAAUUGUCACAAGCUAAAUAUUUAUACUCUAAAUUCCAUGAAAAUUGACAGCAAACUAAAGGUUUCUCUUCCAAAAUUAUAUCACCAUCUUUAAAUGAACGGAGGGCAAAAAGACCUUUACCCUGUAAUAAAUAUACGUUUUAUUGUCAGCAAUAACUAAUAGUAGAUUAAAUUUUCACAAUACAGAAUGUUAUAAAGAAUAGUUACAUCUGUAUUGAUAAUUAAGUGUAAUUAAAACUGAGUUUAUUUA